rnacentral:rRNA from 1 species
GACGAACGCUGGCGGCGUGCUUAACACAUGCAAGUCGAGCGGUAAGGCCCUUUCGGGGGUACGACGAGCGGCGAACGGGUGAGUAACACGUGGGUGACCUGCCUCUAGCUCUGGGAUAAGCCUGGGAAGCUGGGUCUAAUACCGGAUAUGACCUCGCGGUGCAUGUUGCGGGGUGGAAAGCCUUGUGCGGCUAGGGAUGGGCCCGCGGCCUAUCAGCUUGUUGGUGGGGUGANGGCCUACCAAGGCGACGACGGGUAGCCGGCCUGAGAGGGCGACCGGCCACACUGGGACUGAGACACGGCCCAGACUCCUACGGGAGGCAGCAGUGGGGGAUCUUGCGCAAUGGGCGAAAGCCUGACGCAGCGACGCCGCGUGAGGGAUGACGGCCUGGUUGUAACGUACUUCUA